ensembl:misc_RNA 7SK 7SK RNA
GGAUGUGAGGGCGAUCUGGCUGCAACAUCUGCCACCCCAUUGAUCGCCAGGGUUGAUUUAGCUGAUCUGGCUGGCUAGGCGGGGGUCCCCUUCCUUCCUCACCACUCCAUGUGCAUCCCUCCCGAAGCUGCGCGCUCGGUCGAAGAGGACAACCAUCCCCGAUAGAGGAGGACCGGUCUUUGGUCAAGGGUAUACGAGUAGCUGCGCUCCCCUGCUAGAACCUCCAAACAAGCUGUCAAGGGCCUUGGCUUUUACUCUGGGUAAACUAGGGAACGUUUGUAGGGCUCUGGGUAGAAAAGUAACAUGAUCUCACUUAGAGUUGAAAGGAU